GCUCCGAUGGCCAAGCGGUAAGGCGCGUCACUUGUAAUGACGAGAUCCGUGGUUCAAAUCCGCGUCGGAGCU